GAUGAACGCUGGCGGCGUGCCUAAUACAUGCAAGUCGAGCGGACGGACCCGGCGUUUGCUUCUCUGUCGUUAGCGGCGCACGGGUGUGUAACACGUGGAUACCCUACCUAUCAUACUGGGAACUCUUCAGGACACCGGCGCUAAUACCGUAUAAUAUUCUGAUCCGCAUGGUUCAAAAGUGAAAGACGGUCUUGCUGUCACUACUAGCUGGUUCCGCGCUGCAUUAGCUGGUUGGUAAGGUAACGGCUUACCACGGCAACGAUGCAUAGCCGACCUGUGAGGGUGAUCGGCCACACUGGAGCUGGAACGCGGACCAGACUACUACGGGAGGCAGCAGAAGGGAAUCUGACGCAAUGGGCGGAAGCCUUACGGAGCAAGGCCGCGUGAGUGACGAAGGUCUUCGGAUCGUAAAACUCUGUUAUGAGUGAAGAACAUAUGUGGAAGUAACUGUGCACAUCUUGACGGUACCUAAUCAGAAAGCCACGGCUAACUACGUG
rnacentral:rRNA from 1 species